AUGUCCCAAGGCUAAGCCAUGCACGUCUAGUACGACUAAAUGAUGGUGAAACUGCAAAUGGCUCAUAACAACGGUUAUGAUGUACCCGGGAGUUCCGAUGGAUAUUUCCAGUAACACUAGAACUAAUACAUGUCCCUGCGUUUAUUAGUUUCGCACAGUCCGUCGCUGAGUCAUGGUAAACAGUUGAUCGACUCGACGUCCCGGAACAGUUUCCGCCCCAUCAGCUUCGAUGGUUGGGUAUUGGCCUACCAUUGCAACAACGGGUAACGAGGAAUUAGGGUUUGAUUUCGGAGAGGGAGCCUGAGAAACGGCUACCACAUCUACGGAUGGCAGCAGGCGCGCAAAUUACCCAAUGCAGACACUGUGAGGUAGUGACGAGAAAUAAUAAAGCGGGACUUCUGUUUCGCUAUUAUAAUGAGGAAUAACCAAAGGUCAUUCCGAUUAGCAACUGAUGGGAAAGUCUGGUGCCAGCAGCCGCGGUAAUACCAGCGUCAGUAGCA
rnacentral:rRNA from 1 species